rnacentral:rRNA from 1 species
GUGGGGAAUAUUGGACAAUGGGCGCAAGCCUGAUCCAGCCAUGCCGCGUGAGUGAUGAAGGCCUUAGGGUUGUAAAGCUCUUUCACCGAUGAAGAUAAUGACGGUAGUCGGAGAAGAAGCCCCGGCUAACUUCGUGCCAGCAGCCGCGGUAAUACGAAGGGGGCUAGCGUUGUUCGGAUUUACUGGGCGUAAAGCGCACGUAGGCGGAUCGUUAAGUCGAGGGUGAAAUCCUGGAGCUCAACUCCAGAACUGCCUUCGAUACUGGCGAUCUUGAGUCCGGAAGAGGUGAGUGGAACUCCUAGUGUAGAGGUGGAAUUCGUAGAUAUUAGGAAGAACACCAGUGGCGAAGGCGGCUCACUGGUCCGGUACUGACGCUGAGGUGCGAAAGCGUGGGGAGCAAACAGGAUUAGAAACCCUGGUAGUCC